GACGAACGCUGGCGGCGUGCCUAAUACAUGCAAGUAGAACGCUGUUGCGAACGGGAGAGUAACGCGGAGGAAAACGCCUCAUAGCGGGGGAUAAAUAUUGGACAAGAUAGCUAAUACCGCAUACUGUGAAAUGGACCUGAGUUGUAUUAGCUAGUUGGUGCGGGUAAGGCUAACCAAGGCGACCAUACAUAGCCGACCUGAGAGGUGUGUCGGCCAACCGGUGACUGAGACACGGCCCAGACUUCUACGGGAGGCAGCAGUAGGGAAUCUUCGGCAAUGGACGGAAGUCUGACUGAGCACCACGGCGUGAUUGAAGAAGGUUUUCGGAUUGUAAAGCUCUGUUGUUAGAGAAGCGGUAACUAACCAGAAAGGGACGGCUAACUACGUGCCAGCAGCCGCGGUAAUAC
rnacentral:rRNA from 1 species